GUUACUCUACUUCUUUUUCUGGCCUAUAAAUAUGUCUGUUGCGUACCCAUUUGUUCCCUUUUUAUUUUCACAUUAACCCUAGCCGACCUCUGGACAUAUUUUACACUCUGAACAUUCUUUUCUUCAUCUCUUCCAUCGCUUUCGAAUCACGCGUCUUAGUGAGGUUGUGUUCUUCAUCAUUCUGCUUCCUUCCGGGGCUGCGGGGUAUUGUGAUCCGUUUUUCUUCGUUUGACCCGUCGACUGCUCGUGCUUCGGAGUCUACGCAAGGUUAGCUGUUUGCCAAGAUCACGUGGAUAAGCAAGCAGUUUAUAAUUUGAAAGCUGGUCCACUCCGAUUCUUUUGAUUCUUCGGAGGUUUUUAUGUUAUUAAACUAGUUUCUGUUUUCAAACUCUUAGACCGCAGUAGAAUUAGUUUAUUUAUUACAUUUGAUAUUAUACCUUGGGAUUGUCGAUAUAUUCGAUUAUUUAUA